CCUGACUCCAUCAGUCCAAAGAAGGGUCCAGACCCGACACGUCGCCUGUCCAUUCUGCUCCAAAGUGCCAGUAGAACUCAGCAGGUCAGCGACCCGUGGUGGGAAAUGGGUGGAGAAGUGUUCCUAAUGGAAGCCCAUCUUGGCCCUGUCAAGGAGCAGACGAUCAACAGUACCAGCAUCGUCUCAUUCAUACUGUCCCCAAGUGAAAAUGUAAAAGUGAGCCAAGCUGCUCACACCCGACUGCUCACAGUACCAGCCGGCUGCCACUGGCCCAAAAACUUAAAUGCAUUUAAAGUGUUUUAUUUCAAAGAAAGAAGUCUGAAGAAGGAUC